AGCAUGUCAGUCUGAGUGUUGGUU
rnacentral:rRNA from 1 species